rnacentral:ribozyme from 13 species
UUUUUUUUUUCUUCUUUUUCUUUUUCUUUUUUUUAAUUGCAUAAAUUCCUUUCUUUUUCACAACUGGAAAAG